rnacentral:rRNA from 1 species
GAUGAACGCUGGCGGCGUGCUUAAUACAUGCAAGUCGAACGAAGUCAGUAGCAAUAUUGACUGAGUGGCGAACGGGUGAGUAACGCGUUGGUGACCUGCCCCGAAGAGAGGGAUAACAGUUCGAAAGGAUUGCUAAUACCUCAUGUGGUUGUUGGUUUUAGAAUCUGACAACUAAACGGAUUUAUUCGCUUCGGGAGGGGCCUGCGUCCCAUCAGCUAGUUGGUAGGGUAAUGGCCUACCAAGGCGAUGACGGGUAGGGGACCUGAGAGGGUGGCCCCCCACAAUGGAACUGAAACACGGUCCAUACACCUACGGGAGGCUG